CUGAAUCUUGUCACACCAGAGCUCAGUCUGUUCUGUCAUCUGAAACAACAUAAUGCUGUUCCUAUUAUUUUGUGGUGGAUGUUUUGCAUUGUCUGCAGGGCAAACCUUUGCUCCAACACCUUCAAUGGGACAAAUGAACAGCACAACACAGGUGACAACAACUCCUGCUCCUACUACCCCAUACGUGGACCCACCUUUUGAUACUGAAGCACCGACAAGUGGUGUUGCAAUUCUUCGAACAGCUGUCACUUCUUAUCAGGAGCUAAAUGAGACUAUAGUUGAUUCUGUCUUGAGUCAGCUCUAUGACAUCAUUUUUGCGCAGCAACCUGAUCUGGACUUUCAUCUGACUGUGAAAACUUUCCAGAAGGUUUGAUGGAUUGUGAUUCAAUGCAUAACAGGUUUACGUUUUUAUGGUACAUCAUGUGAUGCACCUGCAGUAUGCAGAUGUGAUCUAUUAUACUACUGACUGUACUUUCAAUGAUUUUAUUCUGUUUCAUAACAGUCAUUUUUAUUAAAGUGAUGCUACAGAGGUUUGUAUAAUUUCAGCCAGUAGUUUUUGAAAGUAGCGUUCACGAGCCAAAACAGGUCCCCGAAAAUUGUGCACAGUUGUGUACAACUUAAUCAAUUUCGUAUGAUAUGUUACGUCCUGCAAAAAUUAUAAAAUCUAAAAAUCUAAUUCGUCCAAUAUUUGUAAGCGCUUAAGAUCCCGUUCAAUCUCUUUAAUGUAAGUAAUAUAUUUUAUUACAUAUAUAUAUGAUAUAAUUGACUUAUAUUGACUUGCUGAACAUUGCACUUAUGAUCUGGAGGAGGACUUGUAAAUCAAGAGUUACAUCACAACUCUACCCACUUUCCUUCCAGUGGAGUGUUUUGAG